rnacentral:rRNA from 1 species
CACAGAACUUUCCAGAGAUGGAUUGGUGCCUUCGGGAACUGUGAGACAGGUGCUGCAUGGCUGUCGUCAGCUCGUGUUGUGAAAUGUUGGGUUAAGUCCCGCAACGAGCGCAACCCUUAUCCUUUGUUGCCAGCGGUCCGGCCGGGAACUCAAAGGAGACUGCCAGUGAUAAACUGGAGGAAGGUGGGGAUGACGUCAAGUCAUCAUGGCCCUUACGACCAGGGCUACACACGUGCUACAAUGGCGCAUACAAAGAGAAGCGACCUCGCGAGAGCAAGCGGACCUCAUAAAGUGCGUCGUAGUCCGGAUUGGAGUCUGCAACUCGACUCCAUGAAGUCGGAAUCGCUAGUAAUCGUGGAUCAGAAUGCCACGGUGAAUACGUUCCCGGGCCUUGUACACACCGCCCGUCACACCAUGGGAGUGGGUUGCAAAAGAAGUAGGUAGCUUAACCUUCGGGAGGGCGCUUACCACUUUGUGAUUCAUGACUGGGGUGAAGUCGUAACAAGGUAACCGUAGGGGAACCUGCGGUUGGA